UACGGAGGGAGCAAGCGUUACUCGGAAUUAUUGGGCGUAAAGGGCGCGUAGGCGAUUUGAAAAGUCUUGUGUGAAAGCCCCGAGCUUAACUCGGGAAGUGCACAAGAAACUGUUGAAUUUGAGUUCCGGAGAGGAAGGCAGAAUUCCCGGUGUAGCGGUGAAAUGUGUAGAUAUCGGGAGGAAUACCAGUGGCGAAGGCGGCCUUCUGGACGGAUACUGACGCUGAGGCGCGAAAGCCAGGGGAGCAAAGCGGG
rnacentral:rRNA from 1 species